rnacentral:tRNA from 1 species
GCCGGUGUGGUGGAAUGGCAGACGCGACGGACUCAAAAUCCGUUGGGCUUCGGCCCGUGUGGGUUCAACUCCCACCACCGGCACCA